ACAGCAGCCGCCACGGUAACACCGAGGGUGCAAGCGUUAAUCGGAAUUACUGGGCGUAAAGCGCGCGUAGGUGGUUUGUUAAGUUGGAUGUGAAAUCCCCGGGCUCAACCUGGGAACUGCAUCCAAAACUGGCAAGCUAGAGUAUGGUAGAGGGUGGUGGAAUUUCCUGUGUAGCGGUGAAAUGCGUAGAUAUAGGAAGGAACACCAGUGGCGAAGGCGACCACCUGGACUGAUACUGACACUGAGGUGCGAAAGCGUGGGGAGCAAACAGGAUUAGAUACCCGAGUAGUCCCUGUCUCUUAUAU
rnacentral:rRNA from 1 species